ensembl:lncRNA
CUUGGGUGAAACUGGGACAGAAGCUGACCUACUUAUGGAGUGCAUGCUUCACACCUGAGUCUAAACUUCCCUCAUGAACUGGAAGGUUCUAAAUAUACUCUAGUGCAGAGCAGGGAGUUCUUCUGGAACACUGCACUUUGUCUCUGCUUUUCUCCAUGUGCCAGCCCAUGGAUGCACUUUUCAGUCUUUUCGUGUGUCAUGAUGUGAUUAAAAACUGAAUCCUGUUCGCUAUGAACUCAGUCACCCACCCCCAUUCACAUAUUAAAACCCUAACCUCCAGUGUAACUGUUCUAGGUAAUUAAAGUUAAAUGAGGUCAUAAGUGUGGGGUUCUAAUCCAGUAGGAUUGGUAGUCUUGUAAAAAGAGAAAGAGAGCUCUCUUGCCAUACCCAUGCACUGAGGAAAGGCCAUUGUGAGCAUGUGGGGAGAAGAUGGGCAUCUGCAAGCCAGGGAGAAGACCCUUACCAGCCCCUGACUACCCUGACUGCAGACUUCCAGCUUCCAGCGCUGUAAUGCACUUGACAUACUGCUUUACUGUUUAAGGCUCCUGUUACCUGCAAUCUGGAGACUAUGCUGAACAGAGAGAUGUUGUAAUCAAUUGAACCACAAGGAGAGUCACCCAAUCAGAACUCAGCAAGGCCAUUGGCACCUAGAAGAGUGGCCUCACACAGCUAUCAGAACACCAUACCUGAAUAGUGGUAGUUGAUGGAACACUUCUGAAAGUGACAUCAAGUGAUUGAAAAGUAAUUGACAUCAAUAGCAAACAAUUGCAAAAUAUCCUUUAACUUAUUACAAAAGUAUCUGCAAGUGGGAAUGGAACAUGGGCAGACAACCUAAACAGUGCAACCAAAAGGGGAAAGGUGGCACCUGGAGCAAAGCAGCUUGAUUAUGAAGGGCUUCUUCUAGGACCCUUGCUGUCUACAGCCUCUGGCUGAGACAGCCCAAAGGGCUUCCAAUGCUGCUCUGACGGCCCCUGGAGGUGUUUCUGCUCUUGGCCCACUCAAGCACGCAUACAAGCUUGGAAAUCUCCAGGAGUGUGGGACCGUCUCGCUUGGAUAAGAAGAGUGAGUGUUUUUCCUUCUGCUUGUCCAAAGAAAAAUGUUAGAAUUAGGGUAAAAAGAAAGAACAAGGGUCAAGUGUUAACAAGCCCUGCAGUUUCUUGGGCUGCCAGGCCAGCAUGAUUUGUAGCUAUCUUGGGAGAGUCUUGAUCCCCACACAUCCUGGCUCCUGUAUCACUUUACUGCAC